rfam:Omnitrophica WOR_2 bacterium RIFOXYA2_FTLL_38_17 rifoxya2_full_scaffold_48, whole genome shotgun sequence.
AAACUGCUUUCGCUGUAUAGGCCCUCUUCGAGAGGAUAAUAAGGAAAUACCUGUGAUCUGUCUUAGGCAGAGAAUCAGGAGCGGUCCCGCCGCUGUGAUAGAGAUAAAAGUCUCUUAAGCCAGAAUACUGCCAUACAGAUAAUUAUCAA